UACGAUGCUACGCCCUGUCCUCGCGCCGCUGCGCCGCUCGCGUGCAACCUGUACCCCCAAAACAACACCGGGGUGAGAACUAUAUAAAUAUAGUUCCCAGUGGGUACGNACUACCACUUCGCCCUGAGCUCUUCAAAGCCCUUUGAUAACACACCCUUGGCUUUUCCAAGACUUCCCAACUGAUUCGGAGAUGCCACAAUUUAUCUUUACGCCUUACUUUCAUUUCUUUUAAUCAAAGUUAGCGUCGGAAAUUUUCGGAAAUCCGAAAUUCUCUUUAUAUUUUGUUUCGCGCCCAAUUUGCGCCGAAACACUUAUUUAUCUCCGAAAUUCAUUCCAACGCAUCACAAAUCACUCGAGGAUGAUGUCCAACUAGCUCAAUCCUCACUUUGACCCUCUAGGUCAAAGUUGACAUCGCAAUUCCAAGUUUUCAUAUGUUACAAAAGAGCUACCAACCCGGUCGUCCGAUAAGUGUGUGAAGCUACCACAUAAAAAAUUAAUUGAAUAACCGAAAAGGUUGAAAAAAAUUUGAAUAUGUUAGGUUUUUCGGUGUUAUAAGGUGGUAGGAUGAAAAGAUGCUCAAAGAGCCACCCCCGGUGUCAUAUUAGUUAAAUCUCUAUUUUGAACGACUUGCGACAAAUGGAAGUCAAUUUUGCCGAAUUUCUAAAAAUUAUUUUUUAUUAACCAUUACAUCUUGAUAAUUUUGAAAUAUUAGAUUAUUUUUUAUUUUCAAAUUUUGAUGUUUCGAUGUAUUUUGAAAUCCUAUAAUAUUUUAUCUUCAUCAUAAUGAUUUUUGGAAUACAAUCUUUUAUUUUUAUGAAAUUAAUUUGAUUUUGAAGGGUUUUUGAAGGAAAAAAUUCAUAAUUUUCGAAAUCUAGAAAAGUGUACCGGUACAAAAUACCGUGUACCGGUUAUUUUGUACCGACACAAAUUAUUGUGCCGCAUUUUUUAUAACCGGUCACAGGGUUUUGUUUUCUCUCAAAUCUAUAUCAAAUCACUCCCUUUCUCUCUCUAAAAAUCUCCAGCACCAUUCUCCUUCAGAUCCACGUGGUUUCCUCGAAGAUCUGUAAGUAUUUAGGGUGGAUUUAAUCAUCUAAUCCCGAUUUUACAUAUUUUUCAAAAUUUUUCAAGUUGAAGCAAAAUCUCUGUUCUUAAUCG
rnacentral:lncRNA from 1 species